rnacentral:rRNA from 1 species
GACGAACGCUGGCGGCGUGCUUAACACAUGCAAGUCGAACGGAAAGGCCCUGCUUUUGUGGGGUGCUCGAGUGGCGAACGGGUGAGUAACACGUGAGUAACCUGCCCUUGACUUUGGGAUAACUUCAGGAAACUGGGGCUAAUACCGGAUAGGAGCUCCUGCUGCAUGGUGGGGGUUGGAAAGUUUCGGCGGUUGGGGAUGGACUCGCGGCUUAUCAGCUUGUUGGUGGGGUAGUGGCUUACCAAGGCUUUGACGGGUAGCCGGCCUGAGAGGGUGACCGGCCACAUUGGGACUGAGAUACGGCCCAGACUCCUACGGGAGGCAGCAGUGGGGAAUAUUGCACAAUGGGCGGAAGCCUGAUGCAGCAACGCCGCGUGCGGGAUGACGGCCUUCGGGUUGUAAACCGCUUUCGCCUGUGACGAAGCGUGAGCGACGGUAAUGGGUAAAGAAGCACCGGCUAGCUACGUG